UACAGAGGGUGCAAGCGUUAAUCGGAAUUACUGGGCGUAAAGCGCGCGUAGGCGGUUUGUUAAGUCGGAUGUGAAAUCCCCGGGCUCAACCUGGGCACUGCAUCCGAUACUGGCUAACUAGAGUGUGGGAGAGGAAGGUAGAAUUCCAGGUGUAGCGGUGAAAUGCGUAGAGAUCUGGAGGAAUACCGAUGGCGAAGGCAGCCUUCUGGCCUAACACUGACGCUGAGGUGCGAAAGCAUGGGGAGCAAACAGG
rnacentral:rRNA from 1 species